GCCGGUGUAGCAUAGUUGGUUGGUGCAGUCCAUUGGUAAUGGACAGGUCGGGAGUUCAAAUCUUCCCACCGGCU
rnacentral:tRNA from 1 species